rnacentral:tRNA from 1 species
GGAAGCAUGGCUCGACUGGUUGAGCACCUGCUUAGCAAGCAUGAGACCCUGAGUUCAAAUCUCAGUAUCACCA